rnacentral:rRNA from 1 species
UACGUAGGGGGCUAGCGUUGUCCGGAUUUAUUGGGCGUAAAGAGCGUGUAGGCGGCCAGGUAGGUCUGGUGUGGAAACUCGAGGCUCAACCUCGAGAUGUCAUCGGAAACCAUCUGGCUAGAGUCCGGAAGAGGAGAGUGGAAUUCCCGGUGUAGCGGUGAAAUGCGCAGAUAUCGGGAGGAACACCCGUGGCGAAAGCGGCUCUCUGGGACGGUACUGACGCUGAGACGCGAAAGCGUGGGGAGCGAACAGGAUUAGAUACCCCAGUAGU